rnacentral:rRNA from 1 species
GCUCUCACCCUUUGUGAACAUACCUACAACUGUUGCUUCGGCGGGUAGGCCGUCCCCUGAACUUUUUGGCUCCCGGCCGGGACCGGACCCCCUGUGGGGACGGAUUCGGCGCCCGCCGGAGGAUAACCAAACGCUAUUUAAACGACGUUUCUUCUGAGUGGCAUAAGCAAAAUAAUCAAAACUUUUAACAACGGAUCUCUUGGUUCUGGCAUCGAUGAAGAACGCAGCGAAAUGCGAUAAGUAAUGUGAAUUGCAGAAUUCAGUGAAUCAUCGAAUCUUUGAACGCACAUUGCGCCCGCCAGCAUUCUGGCGGGCAUGCCUGUUCGAGCGUCAUUUCAACCCUCAAGCUCUGCUUGGUGUUGGGGCUCUACGGUCGACGUAGGCCCUCAAAGGUAGUGGCGGACCCUCCCGGAGCCUCCUUUGCGUAGUAACAUUUCGUCUCGCACUGGGAUCCGGAGGGACUCUUGCCGUAAAACCCCCCAAUUUUUCAAGGUUGACCUCGGAUCAGGUAGGAAUACCCGCUGAACUUAAGCAUAUCAAUAAGCGGAGGAA